rnacentral:rRNA from 1 species
AUUGAACGCUGGCGGCAGGCUUAACACAUGCAAGUCGAACGAUGACUAACUAGCUUGCUAGUUAUGAUUAGUGGCGGACGGGUGAGUAACAUUUAGGAAUCUGCCUAGUAGUGGGGGAUAGCUCGGGGAAACUCGAAUUAAUACCGCAUACGACCUACGGGUGAAAGGGGGCGCAAGCUCUUGCUAUUAGAUGAGCCUAAAUCAGAUUAGCUAGUUGGUGGGGUAAAGGCCUACCAAGGCGACGAUCUGUAACUGGUCUGAGAGGAUGAUCAGUCACACCGGAACUGAGACACGGUCCGGACUCCUACGGGAGGCAGCAGUGGGGAAUAUUGGACAAUGGGGGCAACCCUGAUCCAGCCAUGCCGCGUGUGUGAAGAAGGCCUUUUGGUUGUAAAGCACUUUAAGCAGGGAGGAGAGGCUAAUGGUUAAUACCCAUUAGAUUAGACGUUACCCGCAGAAUAAGCACCGGCUAACUCUGUGCCAGCAGCCGCGGUAAUACAGAGGGUGCGAGCGUUAAUCGGAAUUACUGGGCGUAAAGCGAGUGUAGGUGGCUCAUUAAGUCACAUGUGAAAUCCCCGGGCUUAACCUGGGAACUGCAUGUGAUACUGGUGGUGCUAGAAUAUGUGAGAGGGAAGUAGAAUUCCAGGUGUAGCGGUGAAAUGCGUAGAGAUCUGGAGGAAUACCGAUGGCGAAGGCAGCUUCCUGGCAUAAUAUUGACACUGAGAUUCGAAAGCGUGGGUAGCAAACAGGAUUAGAUACCCUGGUAGUCCACGCCGUAAACGAUGUCUACUAGCCGUUGGGGUCCUUGAGACUUUAGUGGCGCAGUUAACGCGAUAAGUAGACCGCCUGGGGAGUACGGCCGCAAGGUUAAAACUCAAAUGAAUUGACGGGGGCCCGCACAAGCGGUGGAGCAUGUGGUUUAAUUCGAUGCAACGCGAAGAACCUUACCUGGUCUUGACAUAGUGAGAAUCCUGCAGAGAUGCGGGAGUGCCUUCGGGAAUUCACAUACAGGUGCUGCAUGGCUGUCGUCAGCUCGUGUCGUGAGAUGUUGGGUUAAGUCCCGCAACGAGCGCAACCCUUUUCCUUAUUUGCCAGCGGGUUAAGCCGGGAACUUUAAGGAUACUGCCAGUGACAAACUGGAGGAAGGCGGGGACGACGUCAAGUCAUCAUGGCCCUUACGACCAGGGCUACACACGUGCUACAAUGGUAGGUACAGAGGGUUGCUACACAGCGAUGUGAUGCUAAUCUCAAAAAGCCUAUCGUAGUCCGGAUUGGAGUCUGCAACUCGACUCCAUGAAGUCGGAAUCGCUAGUAAUCGCAGAUCAGAAUGCUGCGGUGAAUACGUUCCCGGGCCU